GCGGCCAUACCCACUGGAGAACUCGGGAUCCCGUCCGCUCUCCCAUCGAUAAACCAGCGAGGGCCGAAGUAGUAGUUGGGUCGGAGACGACCAGCGAAUGCUCGGUGUUGCAUGUG
rnacentral:rRNA from 1 species